rnacentral:lncRNA from 10 species
GCAGAUUGAAGCAGCUUCAUCUCAUUCCUGGUUCAUCCUGAUUCCCUCAGUGGCUUGCUCCUGCAUUAGUAAUGUAAAACUGGCCCAAAAGGGUUUAAAAUUGUCAGAAGUUGAUCUUGAUCAGUUCAAAUAUUUUUUGACAAAGAAAAUCAGUUCUGGUCAGUUCAAAUCUAUUUUGACCAGUUUAAACCAAUUCUGCAGAACUCGAGCCUGUGGUCGGUAAACCCAGGAAGAUGGCUGAAGACUAUGCUGAUUCAAGCCAAAGCAAGGAAUCAGAGAAAGGUAAGAUUCAUUAAGACUUGGGUGAAAAGAGUUAACAUGGGCAGAAUCCUGGAAGACUUCAAGAAGAAGGUGGAAUUCAAACGGAGUCCUGAAGAAUAGCUAUAGAAAAGUUAUUAAAAAGAAAAAAUCAUGAAGAAAAGAAACAGAAAGUAGAUCAUGGAAUCUGUCUGAUCUUCUUUUCCUAUGUAAUCAAGAAAGCCUGGACAGAGAAUUAUUAGUGAGUCUUUGUCUCUGCUCUGAGCCGCCUGAUGCCACAACUAUGACUGCACUGGGUGAGACCUGAAGCAAAC